rnacentral:rRNA from 1 species
GACGAACGCUGGCGGCGUGCUUAACACAUGCAAGUCGAACGGAAAGGCCCUGCUUUUGUGGGAUGCUCGAGUGGCGAACGAGUAAGUAACACGUGAGUAACCUGCCCUUUACUUUUGGAUAACUUCAGCUAAGUCGGGUUACUACCGGGAAUGCGCUCCUCCUGCAUGGUGGGGGUUGGCUAGUUUCGGCGGUUGGGGAUGGACUCGCGGCUUACCAGCUGGUUGGUGGGGUAGUGGCUUACCAAGGCUUGGACGGGUAGCCGGCCUGGGAGGGUGACCGCCCAAUUGGGGACUGGGAUACGGCCCAGACUCCAACGGGAGGCAGCAGUGGGGAAUAUGGCACAAGGGGCGGAAGCCGGAUGCAGCAACGCGGCGUGCGGGAUGACGGCUUUGGGGUUGUAACCCGCUUUCGCCGGUGACGAAGCGUGAGUGACGGUAAUGGGUAAAGAAGCACCGGCUAACUACGUG